rnacentral:rRNA from 1 species
UACGUAGGGGGCGAGCGUUGUCCGGAUUUAUUGGGCGUAAAACGCUUGUAGGUGGCUACGUCAAGUCGGACGUGAAAGCCCCCGGCUCAACCGGGGAGGGUCGUCGGGGACGGGAUCGCUUGAGGACGGCAGGGGCAGGUGGAAUUCCCGGUGUAGUGGUGAAAUGCGUAGAGAUCGGGAGGAACACCCGUGGCGAAGGCGGCCUGCUGGGCCGAUCCUGACGCUGAGGCGCGAAGGCGUGGGGAGCGAACGGG